rfam:Ovis aries breed Texel chromosome 18, whole genome shotgun sequence.
UCCCUGAUGGUCCAGUGGUUAGGACUCUGUGCUUCCAGUGCAGGGGGCACAGGUUUGAUCCCAGGUUGGGGAA